rnacentral:lncRNA from 1 species
CGUCAUAUAAACCCAGGCUUUCAAUACUUUUGACGUUGAGCGAUGUUUCAGUGUUUAUUUGGUCGAGUGCUUGCCCGAGUUUUGAGUUUUUCGCGUCUUGACCUGGGUCAAGUUCAUGAGGCGCGUCGUUGUUUUGAAAACACUCGUAUGCGUCACCCAAUACUCGAGUUACCUCGUUUAUCACGUAGUCGUCGGUGUUUUUCCUUGAUUCAACAAAGCCACGAAAAAUAGAGACUCUUCUUCGUGCGGAUUAUCCAAGCUCUCGAUGAAAUUCAAUUCUAAUCCUUCACACGAUGCUUGCUCCACAUCAAUUUCACGUUUGAUUUUUUGCCACGCUGAAUAAUGCGGACGUACCUCCUUUUCAUCGAUUCCGUUGCUAUUAGCCACGUUGUUUCCAGCCACAGCACAUCCUACCGAUUUGCCAAAAUACAGACUUUCGUAGCUGCCUGCUCGUUCUGUGACACCAAAGUGUGCAAUUACUGUGGGUCAAAUUGUUCAAAAUGCUACAAACUAUUCUGCUCUCAUUGUUCCAUCCCGGAUUAUAGCUGCACAAAUACAGUGUACAUUUGUCACACAUGUUAUUGCUGAUUCAAGAAAAAUGGAUGCAGAUGGUGUCUUACUGAAUCAUUCAGUAUGAUCUUCAGUAGCUGUUGUUUUGAAAAUAAAAUAGUAAUGAAUCAAGAUGGUGAUGGUUUAGUUGGAUUCCACAUUCAAUAAGCAUCUAUUGUAGGUAACUUCUAGUCAUAGUCCUAAUUGAGUAGGAGUGAUAAUAAAUUUUAAACAAUAUUUUCAUAAGAUACAAAUAAAUAUUCUAAUUAGGUAAUUCGUAAGUUCGUUAUACUGAAAAGGCUGUUUUAAAUAUUUGAAUGUAAGUAAAUUAGUUAAGUUAUGCUUGAUACUGUUUCCAUUAGGGUGCAAAUGUGAUGACCACGAAUGUUCGUGCUCUUGCCCACAAUUAAGAAAUAGCGAAUAGUUUCAUCUACAGGUCCUUUCAUGUUUAGUGAGUGAUGCAACCCAGAUAUACCGAUUUCCUUGAAAUUUUAUUUGGUGAACGGAAAAUACUGUCAAGAAAUAACCGUUGGUACAUUUUACCUCUUGGGACUUAAAACUUUGAAAGUUAAAAAAUAUUCACAUUUUUUCCGAUUUGGCCUCUGAUCUGCAAAGUCUUGCACCCAAGAAAUGUAUGUCUCUGCAAGAAAUGUAUAAAUAUUCCUCAAAAUAUCACUGUUCACUCAAGAGUGUAUCAAGCUCUAAGAGAAAAAUGUUUCACUGUUUCCUCUACUUUCUUAAGCUAUCAAAUUUUAGCACCAUGAGGUAUCAUUUUCUUUCCACUUAAUACCAUCUUGUUUAAAUUGUGAAAUUUUAAAGUAUAUUUGUGCAUUUCUUGGAAAAAUGUGAGUUUCUUUGGUACCAGAAUCGGGAAAUUAGAGGCCGAAACAGUAAAAUGUGAAUAUUUUUUUCUUUCGGGUCGGAAGAACUAAAAAUUUUACAGCUUUAAAGUAGUGUCGGUGGGUUACAUCACUGAAUCACUUGGUGAAAAAUGACCUUUUGAGUAUUUUCUAACUGUUGACAUUGUUCUUUAACUUGGUCUGAGCAUUUAUUUGUUGCUAUGCACAAGACAUAUUCUCAUUGAUGUAUUUUCCAUGUACUACUGUCAAAACUCAAUAAAGAUGUAAUUCAAGUUCAUUCAAAGAUUCUUGUUCUUAAUAUUGAUUCUGACUUUUUCCUUUAAUAGAGAAACGAAAGGUAAGUACAGGUUAUCCGUGUACUUCUUAAGUAUAAAAAAAACCCAAAAGGGUACCAAUUUUGUUAAGACUAUGAGAUCUUAUUGCGAAUUAUAUGAGUAAGUAUUCAAAAAUGAAAAUAAAAUGCACCUUUUAAAAUUUCUUAAAGUGUUUUACGUUUCAAACCUCAAAACGUUCAUAUCAUUUGAGGUCAAGAAUUCUCAUUCCAGAACGACAACGAACUAACUGAUUGUUAAUUCUGCUCAAAAUUUCCGUUUAUUUGCCUAUGGCACGACUAGCUCUCCCCCUCCCCCCCUCUAUGUACAGGAUGGUGAAAUUACAUGAAAUUUCUCCAACCUAUUUCCGGAAAUUUCAGAAAUUUAUGAAAUACAGGGUGAUCCAGACCACCCGUCCACUAUCUUUUUCUCGAAAACGGCGGAGAAUUGAGCUUCGGGACAAAAACUUUCAGGGUAAACCGACCCCAAAGAAUCGAAUGGAAA